GCCCCCAGCGCGGCCCCGGCCCCGCUUGCCCCCGCGCCUCCCGCGGCUCGGCCCCCGGCCCGGACCGCCCCCAGCCCGCCGACCCCACGGGCCGCCCAGAACCCCCGUCCCGGGGAAGGGCUGAACGGGCUCCCGCGCCGGCCUCGGGGUCGGGGCUCUGGAGGACACGACCCCACUGGACCGUGUCAGCCCGUCUGCGACAGGUGGCACGUACCUGCCUCUUCUCCGAGGAUGGACGAGUCGAGCCGGGCACAAGCAUGGAGCUGCGGGUGAGUCCCGGCUGGUACUGGCGCGGCGCAGUGAGCAGCAGCUGACGCAGAGGGCUCCCUGGCCUCGGCUCCUGCCCGCCUCUCCCCCACCUCCGCCGGGGGCCCAGAAAGGACCUCCCCGGGAAAUCGGCGCCACCCAGCGGGCAGCCGCCUCAUUGCGCCCGGCCGGCAAAACCACGCCGCGCGUCUCGCGUCACUGAGAUGCGUCAAGGCUAUUGGCUUGUUCCAAUUGUGACGUCAGGAGAGCCCCGCCCGGCCUGGGUCUCCCAGGCGACCGGUAUAUACAGAGAAGCACGUGGAGGCAAAGCCCGCGAGUUUGGAAGGGGUGGAGCUCGACCAGAAGCGGACUGGGCAUGUGUACUAUUCCUAUCUCCAUUUUACAAAUGAGGAAACUGAGGCACAGAGAAGCUCAUCAACAGGGUGAACUGUAUCUUUGGCAAUACCCUAAGGUCAUUUGGAUUCAACCCUGAAAUACAAGGCACUUCUUUGCUCCUCUGCUGCGUUCCAGGCACUGUUCUGGUGCCGGGCAACAGAGAGGCACAGGCCCUGCCUCUGAACGCCGCUGGGUCCGAUUCAUCUUCCUUCUGCCUCGUGGACAGUUCGCAAGUGACCUCCCCCUGGAACUCUGGAGCCACUUUAGCAGAAGAGGGAGGCAGCUGUCCUUCUAAGGGGCCUUCUGUCGUGCUUACAGUACAGACAAUAACAUGGGCCUGGUGUCUCUGUGACCCAGGAGCCCCUCCCCAGGCAGCGCCUGCCCUCGCCCUGGCUCAGGCCCCAAGGACCACCUGCCUCUGGCCUGUAUCUAGGGCCACGCCAGUGACAUCUCCAAGCCUCCGUGUUCUCACCUGUCACAUGGUGACAUCACACCUGGCUUUCCUGCCCUCUGACUGAGCAAGUGAAAUCCCCAGUAAAAGGGGGUGAUGCAAACACCCCCUGGGUCAGAACCAGGAGAAUCUGCUGGGUCGUCCCGGGACCAAAGACGAACACGGUGACGAAGAAACUGAUGCCAAGGUAGCGCAUCACACUCGGAGCAAAGGCAGAAGGCUCAGCUCAUGCCGGGGGCACAAAGGAGAAGCAAAAGAUCCUCAUCUCUCUGUCGGGCCAGACCUCCCCUUUGCCUGCUGGCUGUGUCUGUGGGCCCGGCGGCAGUGCCCACCUUCCCGCAAACUCGGGGCGCAGAAAGCCCCAUCUCCCCAGGCCCGAGCGCCGACCCCUGCCUGCCCCCGGUCUACCCUGGGCCCCUGAGGAGCGACCGCCCUGCCGGGUGUGCUGCUGCUGGACAAGAGCUUCCCAGGGAUCCCCCUCCCUCCCACCACCCCAGAACUGGCAGAAAGGAAGAGGACCAUCCGGUCAGAAACCAGCUAAGUGGAAUACUGGUGACCGCUCUUAACACCUCCUGAGAUUAUCGUUAGGUGGCCUUUGAAUACGAAGGAACUCAGAGACCUUUGCAGUGCCCGAGCUCUGUCUCUCAAAGCAGCAUCGAAGGCUGACCGCACCGGGCACUUACUGCCUCCCACUCUCCUGACACCCGGGGGUCAGGGGGGUGGGGGGAGGCAGGCCCUGACUCGGCUUCACCGAUAAGGUACUGGAAGCUCAGAGGGGUGAAGUCAUGAGACCUGGCGCUGGGGUUUCUGGGGCUCCAGCCCUCACUGGUGCCAUCCCCGACGGGACCCAGGGAAGCGGACGAGAUGACUCUGUGGACCUUGAGGCCCAAAGUCUGGCCUCUCACAGACUCCUCCCUUCCUCCUGCUCAGGGGGGCAUCUGGAGAGGAGACGAAUCUGGGGGAGAUGUUAAUUAGUUCUGACAAAUUAAUAAAGAAAGCCUAAUUUAUUCUCCGGAUCUAAUUUCCUUCCCCGAGCUUUAUUUUCCUGCCCAACAAGCUGCUGCUCGGGAAAUGGAGGGGAAAGGUGGCGGCGGCGGGGUCAUCUGAAGACGGGUCCAGCCCAGAUCAACCUGCCUCCUCCUCACUGGCCACCCCGCGCCACCCCGCCCCUCCCCGGACAUUAAGCUGUCAAGCCACUCCCAAUUAUCUCCCUCCAUGCCCGCUGGCUCCAGGGGCGACAGUGGUAGCAAGCUGGCGUUGACUCAUUCUGUCACCGGCCUGCCCUGCUUCGGGAAAAUGCAAUUUAAUGAAGUCCGAUGGCAGGGCUGGGGCAGACAGGGUCCCAGGAAGAAGGUGGCGCUAGCCUGGGGACGGCGGAUAGCCUCCUCUCUCCGUGGGGCGGGGUCUUCGAUCUGCCUGACAUUAUGUCAUUUUCAGCGCCCAGCCAAAUACCAGCGGGAGGGGUCAUUCCUCUAGGUUCCUCUGCCUCCACUCACCCCUUCUGCGGCUCUGAGCAGCCAAGGCAUUGACCUUCUCCACGAGGGCCUCCACCUCCCCCGGCUGCCUGUUUUAAUAGCGUAUGGUCAUGACAGCUCGGAAAUUCUUCCCGCUGUUUUAAUCUUGAUCCCUUUCGCUGAAAGGCAAGUGCAUUUCCCCAUGCCUUUUGAUACGGAAUCUGGGAGAGGGUCAGCCACUGCCAGAAACCACCAGGCCAGUCCAGGGUUGGGGAAAGAGGCCGUGCGUGAAUUGGCAGGCCAGCUCUGGUGCCGGAAGGAAGCGGGUCUUCCCUUUGGAUUUGGGUUCACUUGGGCUCGGCCCUGCCUUUUGCACGCCCCCGGUCCUGCCUCGUCAGUGGCAUUUGCUCCUCCUGAGCAGGAGGAAGGGAGGAGUCUGUGAGAGGCCAGACUUUGGGCCUCAAGGUCCACAGAGUCAUCUCGUCCGCUUCCCUGGGUCCCGUCGGGGAUGGCACACAGACUGGUGUGUUUUUUGGUGGGGUAGCAGAGAGGCCCCAGCUCCAGGCUCUUGGGUUCAAAGCCCGGCUCUGCCGCUGGCUUGCUGUGUGACUUUAGACUUUCCGUUCUGGUUUCCUCACGUGUACAAAUGGAAUGGUAGUAGUAACUUCCCCUUGGUUGUUGGGAAGAUUAGCGCCCUCACCUGUUAAGACCCCCUUGUGGCGCGUUCCCGCCAGGCCAUCAUUGUCUUUGGCCAUCGCUACACCCGGAAGACCUUGUUCACUGUCCGUCCCCUACUGGGCCGGGGCUCCGGGAGAACCCUGAUGGCGCCCGCCUGCUCAAGCUGGACCCCAGCGCCCCGCCAGGGCCUGCACUCAGCCCCUCAGUCUCUAGAAGUCGAUUGAUAUAUGGCGUGACUGGGAGGCCACGGUGUCUGGGACUGAGACAGUUUCGAGAAGUACUCCUGGCAGGGAUAGAGGGGGCCGGCUCGGAUCGUAAGCCUCUCCUGCCUGGCUCCAUUCUGGGUCCCACACGCAGGAGGCCCAAAAGUAGUUGGGAAGGACUUUCCCGCUGGUGGCCAAAGGGACAGAGAAAUGUCUUACGGUAAAGGCAGUUAGACAUCUCUAGACCUCAGAGACCGGCCAGCCCCUGGGAAGUCACAGCACCCCAUUCUUUUGUGCCCUUCCUGGCCUUGGAGGGCCUUGGACUUGACCACGUGGUGGAGGACAGCUAUGGGCCCUGCUUGCAUCCACUGUGCGCCAAGGAUGGGCCAGAAGAGCCUGGACAGGACCGACUGAUCUGACCCUCUUGCUGUACAGACAAGGAUACAGGGGCUGGACAGUGCCAGGGUGACCUGGCCGGCAGGUGGCCGAGGCAGGACUCCUAACUCUGAGGCUCUUUCCCCUGCUCACAAACAAACAGAAAGCAAACCUGCUUUCUGUCUGAUUCCUACAUUUGAUUCCCGUCACCCUGGAUUACUGUGAAAGUAACUCCCCCAUCCAGUGCUCCAAGUGAGGUCCCAAAAGGAUCGAUCACAUACGGUGCAAGACGUUCACAAUGCCAGGUUAAAGAAAUGUGCACUUGGCUCUUCCAGACUGUCCACUCCACUGCGUCCAUGCCUCUUGUCCAAGACCAGUCGCUGCCUCUCCCUGACACCCCCCCCCCCGGGACGCUACUCCUUCAGGAAGCCUGCCCCUAUGAGUGCCACCAGCUCCUGGCUUGGGGACCCUGCCUUAGCACCCAGUGGAAGGAGCACCUCUGGUGGCUCACCCAAGGCACACGGCUGGCAUUUUUGUUUGCCAUCUUGUUUCUGCACGCGCACUGGUGGGCGGGGCUGUCUCCCUCCUCCCUCUGGAUCUUUCCCGGGACCACCCCAGUUGUUUCUGGAGAUGGAGAGGGCCCAGGGCUGUGAGAGAAGGGCUUCCGGGGACAAGAGGGCUGUCCUCAGUGUAAAAAUAGGUCCCUUGAGCCCUCCCAGCUUCCACCUCCCCAUCUAUAAUUUGGUUUACUAAGCACCGUGAGGGCUCACUGCAGGUCUGACUCUCCUCCUUGGGGUAAGGGCAGGCCCCGGAGGUGCUGAGAAUACCCCUGCCACAUGCCCAGCCAGGUGGAUGGACGCAGGGA